CUCCCUCUUUCUCUCUCUCUCUCUAAUUUUUCUAUUCACGAUGAAAAAGAUAUUUGGAUUUUUCCUCACAGAAUAUUUUCCCAAACCAUUUUCAGGCGAAAGAACUCCGGUUAGGAUGUUGCUUUUCCUCCUUUACAUACAGUCAGGGGAGAGAGACGGCAGGGUCGGGGAGCCAUUCGUUAGGAAGAAAUAAUAAGGAAAAUGAAAAAGAAAUUAAAUACCUAGUACUAUGAGGCUAUUUAAAAGGAGAUGAAAAAGCUGACCCUUAUAGUAAGUUUCGAAGGGAAAUUUACCACAGGUCUCCUUAAAAAGAAUGAAUAAAAAGUCUUCAGACAAGGUUCCCCGGUGUAGGACAGUUCACUCGCCUGACUGUCGGGAUUGGGUUAAUAUUCCAUGUUGAGGUUUGGAUUCAUCAAAGAAGAGAGAGCAAAGAAAAUUCUUGCAAAUCCUCUAAAGGUGUGAUUCUGAAGGUGAUCUGGACAGGGAAUCCCCCUGUACUUCCUGGAAACGGUGGUCUAGACUGUGCUCUAACCCAGGUGGAUCUUUUUCAGAGACUGCAUCUGCCGACUUCUGGGAGCGCCCCAUCUAGCAAGCAUCCACACAGCUGCGGAGCUGCGGUCUCAGAUGUCAGCGGAAGCCUACGCACAGGAGGGAGGGCAGGCUGAAUUCCAAACCUCCAGUUGGCUCGGCUUCUCCCAGACUAUUGGAGGAAUGAAGGCUGCAGUGAGAGAAGACCUUCGCUCCGGAUCUUGCGGCAAGAGAUGGACCAAGGUUCGGCCUCCCUUCAGAAAUUGGCAGUGCCCCCUCCAGCCGAGGGUCCAGGAGAUGAGGAGAAGCACCAGAGCAGCAAGGAGGAGGCUUGACUGUCCCGACCACCCCGGCACCCACCAAAGCGGAACCUGAACCGAGCCAGCCAGGGAGAUCAGGAUGGCCGCCGUGACUAGCAGAAUGCUACACCAACGAGGGAGAGUACGAGGAAGACGUGAUCGGGGGUCAAGCUGACAAGUGGAGACCGGGACACCCUGAGAGAAGAUGAGAGUUGACCUGUCCAUCGGGAAAAAAUAAGUAUCUAAUCGUAGACUAACCAAGACACACUUGGAAACGGUCAUUUACUGCUCGUGUCAAAUGAUUCGAACUCUGUUAGGUCUCCGUCUCUCUCUCUCCCCCUCUCUCUCCCUCUCUCUCUCUCUCUCUCUCAUUUUUCUAUUCAAGAUGAAAAAGAUAUUUGGACUUUUCCUCAGAGAAUAUUUACCUGUUCCAUUUUCAGGCGAAAGAACUCCGGUUAGGAUGUUGCUUUUCCUCCUUAAAAUUCAGUCGGGAGAGAGACGGCAGGGUCAGGGAGCCUUUUGUUAGGAAGAAAUAAUAAGGAAAAUGAAAGAGAGAUUAAAUACCUAGUAUUGUGAGGCUAUUUACAAGGAGAUGAAGAAACUGACCCUCACUGUAAAUUUCCAAGGGAAAUUUACCACAGGUAUCCUAAAAAAGAAUGAAUAAAAAGUCUUGAAACAAGGCUCCCCGGUUUAGGACAGUUCACUCGCCUGACUAUCGGGAUUGGGUUAAUAUUCCAUGUUGAGGUUUGGAUUUGUCAAAGAAGAGAGAGCAAAGGAAAUUCUUGCAGAUACUCUAAAGGUGUGAUUCCGAAGGUGAUCUGGACAAGGAAUCCCCCUGUACUUCCUGGAAACAAUGGUCUAGACUGCUCUAACCCAGGUGGAUCUUUUUCAGAGACUUCAUCUGCCGACUUCUGGGAGCGCCCCGUCCGGCAAGCAUCCCCACAGCUGGGGAGCUGCGGUCUCAGACGUCAGUGGAAGCCGACCCACAGGAGGGAUGGCAGGCUGAAUUCCAAACCACCAGUUGUCUCGACUUCUCCCAGACUAUUGGAGGAAUGAAGACUGCAGUGAGAGAAGACCUUCGCUCCAGAUCAUGCGGCAAGAGAUGGAUAAAGGGAAAACCCUUUUAGGCUCAAAACUAAUGUAGUGCUCUACCCUAGGGCUUUAGAGCCAGGAAGGAAGAGGAAAAAGAGAAAGAGUUUUCUUGAUGCCCACAAUCUCCUGUUUUUAUAUACCUACCUACAUAAGACCAUCAAAAGACUCUCUGGGGUGAAAAGGGAGGAAUUUCCUUCACUCAAAAAUUCUCCAGAUUUCA